GAUGAACGCUGGCGGCGUGCCUAAUACAUGCAAGUCGAGCGAACGGACGAGAAGCUUGCUUCUCUGAUGUUAGCGGCGGACGGGUGAGUAACACGUGGAUCACCUACCUAUAAUACUGGGAUAACUUCGGGAAUCCGGCUCUAAUACCGGAUAAUAUUUUGAACCGCAUGGUUCAAAAGUGAAUGACGGUCUUGCUGUCUCUUAUAGAUGGAUCCGCGCUGCAUUAGCUAGUUGGUAAGGUAACGGCUUACCAAGGCAACGAUGCAUAGCCGACCUGAGAGGGGGAUCGGCCACACGGGAACGGAGACACGGACCAGACUCCUACGGGAGGGAGCAGAAGGGAAUCUUCCGCAAUGGGCGAAAGCCUGACGGAGCAACGCCGCGUGAGUGAUGAAGGUCUUCGGAGCGUAAAACUCUGUUAUGAGGGAAGAACAGAUGUGUAAGUAACUGUGCACAUAUUGACGGUAACUAAUCAGAAAGCCACGGCUAACUACGUG
rnacentral:rRNA from 1 species